GUGCUCGCUUUGGCAGCGCAUAUACUGAAAUUGCAAUGAAACAGACAAGAUGAGCAUGGCCCCUGAACAAGUGAAUUGAGCCUGAAAAAAAAAAAUAAAUGUCAGU